AAUCCAUCGUUAGCAACUGAACUCAUUCCUUAUUUUCCGGAUACUUAAUCAGCCAACUUCUGCAACCACUUAUCAUCGUGAAGAAUUCAUCCAAGGACAACUAUAUCAGAUUGAUCCAGUUUCGAUUGUCUGGAAAACAAAUUCAAGGGGCGAACAUGCAACGUUUGCAAAUUCUCGUCAACUCAUUUCUACGCAUUUCACGUGGUAUAAAGAAGCUCUCUACAUGAGCUUGGUUUCACCUCUUUUCUAUCGUUACUUGCUCCAGCUAAAGAGUCAACGUACUUUAUUUGUUCAGUUGCUGCGCACACUUGGAUGAUGCGUGAGCUCUAAUUUGUGAUGUUAUUGCUCUCAGGAUCGCAAAGCAUGGUGCGGAAUUGAUUUCACAAUCCGAUAAUCUUCAAAUAAUUAUAACCGGUGACCCUAUCAACUCAUAAAACUGCGCUUUUUUGUCUGAAUAAUAAGGUUUGAUUUCGAGACUCACAUUGCAGCCCACCAUUAGUCUUCUCAACUGGCAUUGAAAAACCACAAGGUCAAGAGGUAACGUUGAGAAAAAAUCACCAAUUCGACAAAAGGAAAAAUCACCAAUCACCUUCGGUAGCACUUACGGAGUUAGUGGAGACAGAGGUUGUAUUAGGUAUGCAUCGCCAGGUUCCGUUGGAUUCAAAACUCAAGAUCCUCCUCGCAAGAACGAACAGCUCUCGACAGUCUUCCCUCGUUCACAAUGGCGUGAGAUGUUCAGAUGUCAACGAUAUUUCAUAGGCAGAAAAUGGAAUAAAACUCUCACGAUAGUGGAAGAAUGACUUGUGAACGGAGAUGACAUCGGUGAUAAUUAAAUGAUAAAUGCCAUGUCGAGUCCCUCCGCAAAAUAGACCUUUCUCCUCAUAGGAGCGGAGUGUGCGACUGCGUUUAAAAACAUGGAAACCAGGACUUCAUUUCCGCUCUGUUCCCUCCACGCAAAGCGCAUUGCGGCUUCGGUGUAUUUAGCUGAUCGACUGAGCGUUAUUUCAAAAAUAUUAGUGAAACAAUCUCCGGUCCUCAACUUCUAACCCUGAGGCUGUUCGGAGGUGAAACCUGCAUACUUAAAACACGCCGUUGAGUGCCUCCACCCCGAAUCCUGUUCUUCAAAAUGCAAACUCUUUUUGGAGGGAAUUAAUCCCAAAGUCAUCGCAAAUCACGGGCUCGCUUUGCAGUUGCAAAACAUAAGAGAUCAAAAUGGUAGUGCAGAUAGGAACGAAAUCCGUUUUAUGUAUCAAUGUCAAAAAUUGCAAAUUGUUCAAUUUAGAUGUUUCCCUUUUCAAUUUAAACCCAAUUAAGUAGUCUCAAGGCUAUUCUGCUCCGCCACCAGUAAUAUUCAUUGCUGAGAAUUGUCUGUGAUAUUAUUUAUUUUACUCUACAACCGUGGCUCAAAUAUCGUGUCUUAAGUCAUUUUUUUGUAUACCUAGAGUAUUUAGUCUCUGUCGAGAAUUAUUUCUGUUCUUGCAAUUUACUCUUGUUUUAGUCCUUGUUACUGGGAGCCACUUUUUUCCCCCGCAAAAAAUUACAUUAUUUUCUUUUAACUUUGUUAUUGCUGAUUCUUCCAUAAAAUAGGAGUUUCAAACAUACAGCCGCAUUAAAAAUUGAGCGCUAAUAUUUUAAUCCGUACCGCAUCGUUAAUACAUUUUCCUCCGGAAAAUUUGAAAAUU
rnacentral:lncRNA from 1 species